ensembl:lncRNA
AGUAUAAAUUCAUCAACAAAUUAGUGACUAAAAAAACACAAAAGUUGUAUGCAGUAUUUUGGUCAUUUUCUGAAUUAGGAAGAUGUAAAUAUAGACCUAGAAUAUAUAAGUAAAUAUGCCAUACUGGUGGUAAAUUGUACAAAAAAAAUGUCAGCAGUACAAACUUGCAGCAACAAUAUUUAUUUUUUGCAUCAAUCAUGCUUUUCUUCAGAUGAAUUGGACCUAGAACUGGAUGUAGGUGAGCAGGAUGACGGAGAUGAUGGAGAUGAUGGAGAUGACGAAGACGAUGGAGACGGUGGAGACGGUCAAGCUGAGGGAGAUGACACCAUCGGGGACAAUGAAAGUGAUGGAGACGACGAAGGUGGUAGAGACGACGAAGGUGGUGGAAACAGCGAAGAAGGUGGUGGAGAUGCUAAAGAUGGAGGCAGUGAGGAGUCAGAUUGUGCCCUUGGAUUAAGGGAAAAUCAAGAAAUGAAGAUGCCUGAAGAUCCCACCAGUUCCUCUGGUAAUGUGUGGGAAAGCCAUAAAUUGUUCUUGCUAUAUCACAGGCAAUAAUACUGUGCUGCAUUUGUUCAAAUGGGGGAGGAAGCGGACAUGGAGCUGCCAGGGACAAAGGGACUUUAAUAUACUCAGUAUAUGUUCAAUGUUAGAUAAAUUCGCCUCUACUGUUCAUACGGAUCCAUAUUGUAGUAUUAGAGUAUAACUUUUCAAUGGGUUUAUCAUUACUUGUCACUUUGGGGUUAGAAUAGAAUCAACUGUUACAUAAAUAUGUUGCUAGUAAUUAAUUAGCCUUCGUAAUUGUUAAAAAGACAAUUUAGAAGUUUUGUUUCUUUUAGGGAAAAGAAAAAGAAUGGUAUCGACCCAGAAUAAGACCAAAAGUUACAAAGGUACGUUUUCUUGAUAAUUUCUUUAAUAUGGUAGUAAUGGUUGAGAGGGGUUAUCCAGUAAUCGGGUUGAGGUAUCACUGAAUUUGUUGACCUUGUAAUGAAGUAAACACUGCAUUUUCAGUGUCAUAGAGGGUAUAAUCUUAAAUGUGAUCACAUUGUUUUAAAGGUAAAGAUACAUUUCUAGUGUUAAUGGUCCCCCUCCUUCAGUCCAAAACUGCUGGCCAGCUGAGUUUGUUACUGAUGUUACCACCUCAGACCAGCUAGGAGGCAGUGACUCAAUUACAUGCAUUUCAGUAUUCCAAAACCAGGCACUGUUGACUAUCAGCUGGGUUGCUAUUGACACUGCUUCAAAUAUUUUAGAAUGGUUUAGUCCCAUCAUGAGUAAGUUUUCAUACAGAGUCUUGACAAAGUCUGUUUCAUGUCCUCAUGAAGUUGGUCCAUAGCGAAGUUAACACCAAAGCACAAUUGCCAAACCCUUAUUGGAUAUAAGUUUGUGUGUUAUUUUUGUGUGUGCGUGUGUCUAGAGCAAUGUGUAUUCUAAUCUAGUCCUCCAAAAUGACAAGAGCUGUGUCUCUUCACAUCUACACAUAAUUUCAGGAUCAAGUUCAAGUUACAGCGCAUAUACCAAUGUAUAAAAUACACUUCACUAUAAAUGGUUUGGAUUUUGUGCUGGCUAUUCUAACAAAAGAUUUUCUUGCUUUUCCAGGACAGAAAAAACUGCGUGUGACUGAGAGUGUUGUCACCAGCUCCAAAGGUAGGACUUCAGUGCCUCUUGAACAGCAGAUAUAUCUUUGGCCUAAGAGGUGUGAAAGAGGCCCUGGCAAUGGGCAACCAUUAUAGUGUUGAUGCUCCUGCCCCAGUGUCAUCAUAAUCUGAUUUCAUACUGAUUUUAAUUUAACAUUUACUAAAUGUGACUUUUUUGUACAAUAUAAUUAACCUGUAUUUCAGUGGCAAAAGUUUUCAAGAAAAUUUAAACUAAACCGCUAUCGUCAUCAUCUUAACAUAUAAAAUAUUAUUUUGAUUGACAGAGAUAAAAUCCAGAAGAUGUGUGAAAAGGCCGUGGAGCAAGACUGAAAUUAGUGCUGUGAUGAAACACUUCAAAACGCAUAUUACAAAUGGAGACCUAGCAACUAAAGUGGAGUGUGAACAAUGUAAGAUCGCUGAGCACCCAGCGUUGAAAGAUAGAAGUCUUCAAAAUAUCCGUGAUUUUGUCAGGAACAGGGGCCUUACAGUAAAAAAAAAAUAGCUUCUAAGUUUUUCUGUAAGCUAGCAUGACAUUUAUUUUGCUUUGCUCAUAGUUCAUCAAUAUAUUCAGGAUUUUUCAGGAGCAGGAGCUUUAUGUUAAAAAGAAAAGUCUGUUUUUUGAACAAUGUGGGCAAUGUCUAGAUUUAUUUAGAGCUAAUGUGUAUUUUGUUUUGCACAUUGUUCUUCCUGUAGAUGAUCCCAACUGGUUUUAAAAAGUGUAUUUGAAUUAUAACAAAACCAGUGUUUCUAAGCUGAUUCAAGGUUUAUUUUUUGUCAUUCCAGGACAUGAAGGGUACAUAAGAGUCUAAUUAAGUUUGUUUUUUGAACAAUGUGGGUAAUGUCUUGAUUUAUUUAGAGCUAAUGUGUAUUUUGUUUUGCACAUUGUUCUUCCUGUAGAUGUUCCCCACUGGUUUAAAAAGUGUAUUUGAAUUAUACAUAUUAAAACCAGUGUUUCUGAGCUGAUUCAAGGUUUAUUUUUUUGUCAUUCCAGUACAUUAGGGUACAUAAAAGGAAUGGAAUUUAGUACUCAAGGUCCCAUAAAAGUAGCAGACAAUAUAAAAACAAUAUAGAAAUCAUUUAUAAAAGUUGAAAAUGGCAUGCAGCAUAAAAAUAUGAUAUAUAAAAUAAAUAUUCAGUGUUUGUUGCACAUUAGUCUGUAAUGUUUUGCAGAGUUUAGCAGUCUGACAACCUCUGGGGAGUAGCUGUAUGCACUCUGGUUGUUUUGGCCCUGAUGCGGCGCAGCUUUCUUCCUGAGGGGAGAGGGUUGGACAGUCCAUGGGCCAGGUGAGAGGGGUACUUCAGAAUGCUGGCAGUUUUGUUCCGAUAUCUGCUGAUGUGUCCUGUGUGCUGAUUUCACUACUUGUUGCAGAGCCUUUCCUUCUGUAGCAGAGCAGUUUUAUACCACACUGUGAUGCAGGAUGACAGAAUGCUCUCCACUGCGCAUCUGUAGAAAACUGUGAUGACUGAGGUACCCGGUCCAGCUUGCUUCACUCUCCUUGUGCCCAAGUUAAUAAGUCAUCAAGAAUAUUAAUAUAACUGUAGUGUCACUCAUACCACUGGCCUAACAUUAUUGCCAACAAUGUGUUUAAUAGAGACAGAUUCCAUCAUCCAGAUAACAUAUUUUAUAAUUUUACUUUUUAAGAUGCAGGUAAUUUACCUUUCUCAAAACUCUUGUAAGGUAAUUUUUCAGGAGUGGUUUAUGAAGUAAUGUACAGUUAGACCAGUGUGACCCUCAUAACAAAGGGGUUUUGCCCUGGUUAUAUGUGUUUAUGAACAAUGUCCAGUUAAGCCAGCAUGGUCCUCACAAACAAGGGUUUUUCCUGAUUAUGUGUGUGUGUGUAUGUAUGUAUGGGUAACGUCCAGUUAAGCCAGCAUGGUCCUCACAAACAACGUUUUUUUCCUGAUUGUGUGUAAUGGGUAGUGUCCAGUUAAACCAGUGUGGUCCUCAAAAACAAGGGUUUUGUCCUGACUGUGUGUGUGUGUAUGGGUUACGUCCCAAUAAACAAGGGAGGUCCUCAUAAGUCACCAUUGUACUAGGAAACGCCUUCUCCCGCCCCGUCCUCAUAAUCCAGUCAAAUGUCAGAUUUUCGUUUCUUUGAAUUCUUUGACAAUAUUUUAAAUCUAAGUAGACAGGAAUUUUUCUUAAUUUUUUUGGACCACUUUUAUCUUUUAGCCACCUUCCUAGGACAAAGGGAAAGGUGGGUCCCCAUAAACCACCGCUGGGCUGGUAUGGGUAAAAUGUCCUUGCAAACCACCCAUACCUGUAUAGGUGUGUGUGUGUGUGUGUGUGUGUGUGUGUGUGUGUGUGUGUGUGUGCGCUCCCUGGACUGAGUCACGUUAACAGCCUCCUCGUCCGUCCGACCAUCACAAUCGAAGUGACGCAAAUCUCUGCGUCAGUAAUUAGCAUAAAAUUGGAUCUUUGUCCGUGUUAGCAAACAUGGCUGAACGCAUGCGGCGCCUCAAUUAGGCCCCGACACACACCACACACACACACACACACACAGACGUGACGUGGGAGCAUCACUUCCCAUCUCAUUACGCUGACUUACACUCAUUUCCUGGAAGCCUAUGGGGACAUAGAUCCAUAUCAACACCUUUAAGAUAUGCUUUUAUUUUGAAAUUCUCAUUGCACAUCUGUCUG